UCUCUCACACAGCGGAAAACGGUCAGAUUCCCCUUCUCUCCCCAAUUCUGCUUUUUAACACCAAGAAACCAGGGGAGAGCGCGAACGCAGUCCCCCACUACCACAAAUUAUGCAGUCGAGUUUCCCACAUUUGGGGAAAUCGCAGGGGUCAGCACAUCCGGAGUGCAAUGGAUAAGCCUCGCCCUGGGAAAACCACCUUCGUGAUCAUGGUAUCUCCCCUGCCAGGGCGAGGCUUAUCCAUUGCACUCCGGAUGUGCUGACCCCCUGCGAUUUCCCCAAAUGUGGGAAACUCGACUGCAUAAUUUGUGGUAGUGGGGGACUGCGUUCGCGCUCUCCCCUGGUUUCUUGGUGUUAAAAGCAGAAUUGGGGAGAGAAGGGGAAUCUGACCGUUUUCCGCUGUGUGAGAGAGAAACGUCAGGCGUCUUUUUCCCCACUUCGACUUGCUCGUUCUUUAGAAGCUGGUGUCGGAGAUGGGACUAUGUUAAGAAGUGUUUACGCGGGCCUAAUUUCACAGGUGGCCUACGGCUCGCUCGCCUUAAAGGUGUGCUGUGCGCGGCCGUCUGUUGGUAGGAAUGGGCAGUUUACGAGGUGAAGAGACCAAAGACUCGGGAGGAACGAGAGUUUCUAUCCACUCCAGAGCGGAACACGUUUUUCAUGGACAGUUUUGCUGAGGGUUUGAGACCGGGUAUCUUUAGGAAGCAAGGUAAAGGAACAGUUGCUAAGGUCGCUGGGUGUCCAGGGAGUGCCGUGCUGCCCACUAUAGUCUGCGGAGGCUGGCUGAGCAGGUUCGGUUUUGUGCUUUUUGGACUUGUUACACCUGAGUAAGUUGAGUUUCUGUCGACGUGCUUGGCACAAUCGAAACUGUAUGUAGCUGUAGCUUAUUCUUCUGCGUUUUUACGUCAGUGAGGCAUUAUGUGAGGUCACACUUACUGUGCUGUUGACCGUUUGAGUUGUGGGACAAAAAGUGUAGGCCGGGUGCUGCAUAGGGGCGAGGCCGCGAUGAGUUGAGCGAAGCUGAAAGCGGAUGGUUUUCCAGGUGCAAGGGCUGGAGGUCGGAGCUGGGUGUUUUCUGCAGCUCUCGCGAGGUUUUCAGCUAGGCGAGAGAAGCGGCGUGCGCCGUUUGGUUCUGGCGCAGCCGGCGAGUUUGCUUCGAGGCUGGGCCGCUCGUGGUCAGGUGCGGCUUUCGCGCGAGGUGGUUGCUCCUCGGUCAGCCGCUGUUUACCGGCGGCUGGGCCGAGGCGCCCGUCCCGGCCACGCAGAAGCCACAGACUCCGAUGAUUCGGCCCGCCUUCCUGACCAGAGCGUCCCUCCGCUGGUUAUGUGCGAGCCUCGGCCCCGCUGAGCCGCACAGGGCCACGCAGAGAUAGGGCAACUACUCACGAGCCGUGGUCCUGUAUACUCUUCACGCUUAACUUUUCCCGGCAUCUACUGCGAGGCGGUCUCUGGUGGACUCCUAGUUUUUUCUUUUCUCUUCUUCCUGAGCUCUACCCUCACAGCCCAGCACCACCCCUCUGGUUGAAACCUGG
rnacentral:lncRNA from 1 species